AAACAUCGCCUCCUGCAACACAUUAAAUAUAGGAGGUCCAACCUGCCCAGUGACUACAAGUUUAACGGCCGCGGUAUUUUGACCGUGCAAAGGUAGCGCAAUCACUUGUCUUUUAAAUAGAGACCUGUAUGAAUGGCCAAACGAAGGCUUAACUGUCUCCCCUUUCAAGUCAGUGAAAUUGAUCUACCCGUGCAGAAGCGGGUAUAAUAAUACAAGACGAGAAGACCCUUUGGAGCUUAAGGUACAAAAUUUAACCACGUUAAGCAACUUAAUAAUAAAGCAAUAAACCUUGUGGAAUAUAAAACUUUACCUUCGGUUGGGGCGACCACGGAGUAAAACAAAACCUCCAUAGUGGACUGGGAUAAUUUCCUAAAACCAAGAGAGACAUCUCUAAGCCACAGAACAUCUGACCAAAAAUGAUCCGGACACCAAGACCGAUCAACGAACCAAGUUACCCUAGGGAUAACAGCGCAAUCCUCUCCCAGAGUCCAUAUCGACGAGGGGGUUUACGACCUCGAUGUUGGAUCAGGACACCCUAAUGGUGCAGCCGCUAUUAAGGGUUCGUUUGUUCAACGAUUAAAGUCCUACGUGA
rnacentral:rRNA from 1 species